rnacentral:rRNA from 1 species
UAUCCAGACUCCUACGGGAGGCAGCAGUGAGGAAUAUUGGUCAAUGGCCGAGAGGCUGGACCAGCCAAGUCGCGUGAGGGAAGAAUGUCCUAUGGCUUGUAAACCUCUUUUGUCAGGGAGCAAAGUCACCCACGUGUGGGUGUUGGAGAGUACCUGAAGAAAAAGCAUCGGCUAACUCCGUGCCAGCAGCCGCGGUAAUACGGAGGAUGCGAGCGUUAUCCGGAUUUAUUGGGUGUAAAGGGUGCGUAGACGGGAAAACAAGUUAGUUGUGAAAUCCCUCGGCUUAACUGAGGAACUGCAACUAAAACUAUUUUUCUUGGGUGUUGGAGAGGAAAGUGGAAUUCCUAGUGUAGCGGUGAAAUGCGUAGAUAUUAGGAGGAACACCAGUGGCGAAGGCGACUUUCUGGACAAUAACUGACGUUGAGGCACGAAAGUGUGGGGAGCAAACAGGAUUAGAUACCCCAGUA